AACGAACGCUGGCGGCAUGCCUAACACAUGCGAGUCGAACGGGACCUUCGGGUCUAGUGGCGCACGGGUGCGUAACGCGUGGGAACCUGCCCUUAGGUUCGGAAUAACUCCCCGAAAGGGGUGCUAAUACCGGAUAAUGUCUUCGGACCAAAGAUUUAUCGCCUUUGGAUGGGCCCGCGUUGGAUUAGCUAGUUGGUAGGGUAAAAGCCUACCAAGGCGACGAUCCAUAGCUGGUCUGAGAGGAUGAUCAGCCACACUGGGACUGAGACACGGCCCAGACUCCUACGGGAGGCAGCAGUGGGGAAUAUUGGACAAUGGGCGAAAGCCUGAUCCAGCAAUGCCGCGUGAGUGAUGAAGGCCUUAGGGUUGUAAAGCUCUUUUACCCGGGAUGAUAAUGACAGUACCGGGAGAAUAAGCACCGGCUAACUCCGUG
rnacentral:rRNA from 1 species